rfam:Ipomoea nil DNA, scaffold: scaffold3056, cultivar: Tokyo-kokei standard.
GCCCGUCUAGCUUAGUCGGUAGAGCGCAUGGCUCUUAACCUUUUUGGCUUGGGUUCAACUCCCAGCGUGGGUG